AUACGGAGGGUGCAAGCGUUAUUCGGAAUCACUGGGCGUAAAGGACGCGCAGGCGGCUAUUUAAGUUGGAUGUGAAAGCCUACGGCUCAACCGUAGAACUGCAUCCAAAACUAUUUAGCUAGAGUGUGGGAGAGGAAGAUGGAAUUAGUUGUGUAGGGGUAAAAUCCGUAGAGAUAACUAGGAAUACCAAAAGCGAAGGCAAUCUUCUGGAACACUACUGAUGCUGAGGCGCGAAAGCGUGGGUAGCAAACGGGAUUAGAAACCCUAGUAGUCC
rnacentral:rRNA from 1 species